AUUGAACGCUGGCGGAAUGCUUUACACAUGCAAGUCGAACGGCAGCACGGGUGCUUGCACCUGGUGGCGAGUGGCGGACGGGUGAGUAAUGCAUCGGAACGUGCCGUAUAGUGGGGGAUAACGCAUCGAAAGGUGUGCUAAUACCGCAUACGCCCCGAGGGGGAAAGUGGGGGACCGUAAGGCCUCACGCUAUACGAGCGGCCGAGGUCCGAUUAGCUAGUUGGUGGGGUAAAGGCUCACCAAGGCGACGAUCGGUAGCUGGUCUGAGAGGACGACCAGCCACACUGGGACUGAGACACGGCCCAGACUCCUACGGGAGGCAGCAGUGGGGAAUAUUGGACAAUGGGCGGAAGCCUGAUCCAGCCAUGCCGCGUGUGUGAAGAAGGCCUUUUGGUUGUAAAGCACUUCAAGCGAGGAGGAGGCUACUAGUAUUAAUACUACUGGAUAGUGGACGUUACUCGCAGAAUAAGCACCGGCUAACUCUGUGCCAGCCGCCGCCGUAA
rnacentral:rRNA from 1 species